GAGUGGGGGGCAACUGUUGGGAUAUACCGACCGACCCCUGUACGCCGACUUACCCUCGGACCUGUCCGAUCGAUGCCCGACUCUACCGACCGGACCGACGGACGACUCCGACGAUGACCGCCGACAAUGGUUGCCGAUAAUAUCCGACCGAAGGUAUGUCGGCCGAACAGACCCAUAUUAUUUCCGACCGGCCAAGCGGCCGAGUCCAAAUCACCG
rnacentral:lncRNA from 1 species